CGAUCCGCGGCGGGAGAGUCCUGCGAACGGGUAUUACGCAGGCGCCGUAGGAGCAAAACCUCCCCAGGAAUCUCUCAGGCCCCCGUACCGCCGCUCCGAG
rnacentral:ncRNA from 1 species